GUGAGCGGCCAUACCACCCAGAGCGCACCGGCUCUCAUCCGAACGCCGAAGUUAAGCUGGGUCGGGCUUGGUUAGUACUAGCGAGGGGGACCAGCUGGGAACCCUGAGUGCUGCUCACC
rnacentral:rRNA from 1 species